CAAUAGCGUAUAUUAAAGUUGUUGCAGUUAAAAAGCUCGUAGUUGGAUUUCUGGGAGGGUGCCGCCGUCCGGCGUGUCCGUAUGCAGUGGCGCCCUUCCAUCCUUCUGUUAGCGUCUCUUGGCAUUCAUUUGCUGGUGGCGGGCUCAGAUAUUUUACCUUGAGAAAAUUAGAGUGUUUCAGGCAGGCUAGGCCGGAAUACAUUAGCAUGGAAUAAUGGAAUAGGACUACGGUCUCUUUGUUGGUUUGAGGGACUGCAGUAAUGAUUAAUAGGGAUAGUUGGGGGCAUUAGUAUUUAAUUGUCAGAGGUGGAAUUCUCAGAUUUGUUAAAGACUAACUUAUGCGAAAGCAUUUGCCAAGGAUGUUUUCAUUAA
rnacentral:rRNA from 1 species